rnacentral:rRNA from 1 species
ACAUGCAGUCGAGCGCAGGAAGCAAGCUGAUCCCCUUCGGGGGUGACGCUUGUGGAAUGAGCGGCGGACGGGUGAGUAACACGUGGGCAACCUGCCUGUAAGACCGGAAUAACCCCGGGAAACCGGGGCUAAUGCCGGGUAACACCUUCCCUCGCAUGAGGGAGGGUUAAAAGAUGGCUUCUCGCUAUCACUUACAGAUGGGCCCGCGGCGCAUUAGCUAGUUGGUGAGGUAACGGCUCACCAAGGCAACGAUGCGUAGCCGACCUGAGAGGGUGAUCGGCCACACUGGGACUGAGACACGGCCCAGACUCCUACGGGAGGCAGCAGUAGGGAAUCUUCCGCAAUGGACGAAAGUCUGACGGAGCAACGCCGCGUGAACGAUGAAGGUCUUCGGAUCGUAAAGUUCUGUUGUUAGGGAAGAACAAGUGCCGUGCGAAUAGAGCGGCACCUUGACGGUACCUAACGAGGAAGCCCCGGCUAACUACGUGCCAGCAGCCGCGGUAAUACGUAGGGGGCAAGCGUUGUCCGGAAUUAUUGGGCGUAAAGCGCGCGCAGGCGGUUCCUUAAGUCUGAUGUGAAAGCCCACGGCUCAACCGUGGAGGGUCAUUGGAAACUGGGGAACUUGAGGACAGAAGAGGAGAGUGGAAUUCCACGUGUAGCGGUGAAAUGCGUAGAUAUGUGGAGGAACACCAGUGGCGAAGGCGACUCUCUGGUCUGUUUCUGACGCUGAGGUGCGAAAGCGUGGGUAGCAAACAGGAUUAGAUACCCUGGUAGUCCACGCCGUAAACGAUGAGUGCUAGGUGUUUAGGGGGCUUCCACCCCUUAGUGCUGAAGUUAACGCAUUAAGCACUCCGCCUGGGGGAGUACGGCCGCAAGGCUGAAACUCAAAGGAAUUGACGGGGGCCCGCACAAGCGGUGGAACCAUGGUGGUUUAAUUCGAAGCAACGCGAAGAACCUUACCAGGUCUUGACAUCCUUGGACCACCCUAGAAAAAUAGGGUCUUCCCUUUCGGGGACCAAGUGAACAGGUGGUUGCAUGGGUUGUCGUCAGCUCGUGUCCU